rnacentral:rRNA from 1 species
GCAGCUGUAGGGAAUGUUCUUGCAAUGGCAAAAGAUCUGACGGAUGCGAAGACGUUGAUGUGAUGAAGGUGUUCGGAUCGGUAAGAUUUGUUUUUAGGGAAGAAGAAGUGCGAGAGUAACUGCUCGUACGUGUACGGUACGUAUCUAGAAAGCCACGUCUAAGAUCGCGCUAGCAGUCGGGGUAAUAUGUGUGGUGGCAAGGGUCUCUUGGACCUCUUGGGAGUAAAGGGCUCGCAGGGUGGUAUCUUAAAUUUCAUGCGAAAGCCCUCGGUUCUCCCUGGGGCGGGUCAUUCAAAGAAGUAUAACUGGGGUGGAGAAGAGG